rnacentral:rRNA from 1 species
UAGGUAGGUUGUUACGUAUGUCUGGGGUGAAAUCCCUGAGCUUAACUCAGGAAGUGCCUUGGAAACGGCGUAACUAGAAUACUGGAGAGGUUCGCAGAAUUCCUGGUGUAGCGGUGAAAUGCGUAGAGAUCAGGAGGAAUACCAGAGGCGAAGGCGGCGAACUGGACAGUUAUUGACACUCAACUACGAAAGCGUGGGGAGCAAACA